UACGGGGGGGGCAAGCGUUGUUCGGAAUUACUGGGCAUAAAGGGCUCGUAGGCGGCCAACUAAGUCAGACGUGAAAUCCCUCGGCUUAACCGGGGAACUGCGUCUGAUACUGGAUGGCUUGAGUUUGGGAGAGGGAUGCGGAAUUCCAGGUGUAGCGGUGAAAUGCGUAGAUAUCUGGAGGAACACCGGUGGCGAAGGCGGCAUCCUGGACCAACACUGACGCUGAGUGAGCGAAAGCCAGGGGAGCAAACGGG
rnacentral:rRNA from 1 species